rnacentral:lncRNA from 1 species
GUUAAAUUAAUGCUGAUAUGAUUGUAUCUUAUAGAGUUUUGGAGAUGGAAGGAAUUUUAGAGCCAUUUUCACCACAAAUUAAGCACGGUGAAAAACUGUCCACAAUAAAAAACUGACUAUAGUGGGCUAUUGGUCAACUCCCCCGUCAGUGGUGCAACCCACCCGACACAAGGAGAGCGGACUUACUUGGUUCCCAGUUUCACAGAGCUGCGCGGUCAGCCAGUUGAGCAGGAACAUUGUGGCAAAAGUGCGUGGUGGCGCAAAGCCGCCUGGGUCAUGGUGUCGGCAAUGCAGGGCAGGGAGCAGCCCCACAGCAAAGGGGCCAGAGGCCAGGUACAGACUGCAAGCUCAUGUGUCCGUGACUCGUGGCCCAGAUCCACCCUGAAGUGAGCUUUCCGGGAUCCCUCUGUGGCUCCCCAGCCAACCACGCUGACAGUUGAGAUGAACUGCCACAUUUCAGUUAAAAGUUCCAAAGAAUCUUUUUGUUGUAGGUGUUUCUCAGAUAGGAAGGAGCUUAAGAGGAGGGAGGAGGGAGGGAAACGGGAUGAAAAAAUGAAUAGAACGUGUUAGGUCCACGCAGCAGCUCCACACAGGGUCUAAAGACUGUGCCAAAGAUUGUCUCAUGGAGCAACUUAAGACAGAAUCAGAACAACUUUCUGACAGUGUGUCCUGGCAGCUUUGUGGGGCGUUGCAGUUGAUUACAAGGAUACUCAGGAGCUAUGGGACAAGAGUACCUGGAAGAGGUGAAGAGAAGAGGGAACGUUUGUUGGCCUCUGAGAAGUUUCCGGGGACAUGUGAGUGUUCAGCAGUCCCUAGCAGGGGAGAAGCAGGAGGAGGUAGGACAGCAGGGCACAGCAGCGGAGAUUUUAAAAUUCAGACACCCUUGGAUAUAGAUAUAAGAAC